rnacentral:rRNA from 1 species
UACGUAGGGGGCGAGCGUUGUCCGGAUUUACUGGGCGUAAAGAGCGCGUAGGCGGCCUGUUAAGUUGGCUGUGAAAGUCCCUGGCUCAACUGGGGAAGGUCGGUCGAAACUGGCAGGCUAGAGGGCGGUAGAGGAAGGUGGAAUUCCGGGUGUAGUGGUGAAAUGCGUAGAUAUCCGGAGGAACACCAGUGGCGAAGGCGGCCUUCUGGGCCGUACCUGACGCUGAGGCGCGAAAGCGUGGGGAGCGAACCGAAUUAGAUACUCGGGUAGUCCACGCCCUAAACGAUGGACGCUAGGUGUAGGGGGUAUCGACCCCUCCUGUGCCGAAGCAAACGCAUUAAGCGUCCCGCCUGGGGAGUACGGCCGCAAGGCUAAA